rnacentral:sRNA from 1 species
UGUAAUCAAGGGCAGCUUUACGCUGAUCC